rnacentral:lncRNA from 1 species
CGAUUUUUCCGAGAUCAGCUCCGACCCUCUUCCUGUUACUAACAACAACACUUCUCUCACUAUCCACAACCCUUUUUUUCACCGGCGCCGCCAACGCCAACGCCGAUGCAGAUCUAGUCUCCGAACUUCAAUCCAUCCAAUCCCGCUCCUCCUCCGGCGUUGUUCACCUCUCUGACAACCUUCUCCGGCGUAUCGUUACCACGAAACCACGAUCUUUCUCCUUAAUCAUCUUCUUCGACGCCAUCCAACUCCAUGAUAAAU